rnacentral:rRNA from 1 species
UGGGGAAUAUUGCACAAUGGGCGCAAGCCUGAUGCAGCCAUGCCGCGUGUGUGAAGAAGGCCUUCGGGUUGUAAAGCACUUUCAGCGGGGAGGAAGGCGUUAAGGUUAAUAACCUUGGCGAUUGACGUUACCCGCAGAAGAAGCACCGGCUAACUCCGUGCCAGCAGCCGCGGUAAUACGGAGGGUGCAAGCGUUAAUCGGAAUUACUGGGCGUAAAGCGCACGCAGGCGGUCUGUCAAGUCGGAUGUGAAAUCCCCGGGCUCAACCUGGGAACUGCAUUCGAAACUGGCAGGCUAGAGUCUUGUAGAGGGGGGUAGAAUUCCAGGUGUAGCGGUGAAAUGCGUAGAGAUCUGGAGGAAUACCGGUGGCGAAGGCGGCCCCCUGGACAAAGCCUGACGCUCAGGUGCGAAAGCGUGGGGAGCAAACAGG